AAUUAAUAUUAUAGGAGCAACUUUGGUGAGAUUCCAGGACUGUCCCGCAACUGUAAUCUAUUUUAUAUAGUAGUCAGGUGUCCUUUUUGAUAAAACUUUUCGAUGUAAAGAGUUUUAUUUUAA
rnacentral:sRNA from 2 species